CUUUUUACAGAAGUUCAAUGUUUGCUCUGAGAAGUUGAAUGAACAAAAUUUAUUAAAUGAUAAAGUUGUAUCCUUUAAAGAUAUGCUGGUAUUAUUGGCACAAUGGGCAAGCAUUGAAGUACAACUUGUUGAACUACAAAAUACAUAAAAUUCAGUUAUAAAAAUUUGAGUAACAAAGGUAUGCCAAUUAUUCUAUUGCCUGAAAGAGUAUCAUUGCUAUUCAAAGCAGUGAAGAAGUCAAGUACUCUGGAAGAAAAAAGACCAAAAAACACCUAAGUAAAUGGUCAAUUAUUUGGCACAAAUUGGAGUUAAAGACAAAGGAGAUUGUAUAUGUUAUUUAUUAAGAAUAGUUUUUUAAAAUGGCCUAGCUUUAAAAUUAAAUUAUGCAGGGAGAAGACAAAAAAUUGAAAUAGUAAAAAUGUUGCUUGCAUAUGUUGCUCUUGAAACUGUGAAGUCAAAUAAGAAUGGCUAGAGCAGACAUGUGAUAAAGAUAGUGGAAGAAAAAACAAUAAUCGUGGGCACGAAAUAUUAUAAGCUAAACACGAUUCAAUAACAAGUAGCUCAGCCAAUCUAUAAAUUUUAUAGUGAAUUUUUUUAUUUAAAUCUCAAUGUGUCAGUUUUUGGUUUAAGUUUGGUGUUUGCAAUAUGUAUAUUUAACCGAGAAAUU